CAGUCGCCGCGGUAAUACAGAGGGUGCGAGCGUUAAUCGGAUUUACUGGGCGUAAAGCGUGCGUAGGCGGCUUUUUAAGUCGGAUGUGAAAUCCCUGAGCUUAACUUAGGAAUUGCAUUCGAUACUGGGAAGCUAGAGUAUGGGAGAGGAUGGUAGAAUUCCAGGUGUAGCGGUGAAAUGCGUAGAGAUCUGGAGGAAUACCGAUGGCGAAGGCAGCCAUCUGGCCUAAUACUGACGCUGAGGUACGAAAGCAUGGGGAGCAAACAGGAUUAGAUACCCCCGUAGUUCCUGUCUCUUAUAC
rnacentral:rRNA from 1 species